AGUGAACGCUGGCGGUAGGCCUAACACAUGCAAGUCGAACGGCAGCACAGUAAGAGCUUGCUCUUACGGGUGGCGAGUGGCGGACGGGUGAGGAAUACAUCGGAAUCUACUUUUUCGUGGGGGAUAACGUAGGGAAACUUACGCUAAUACCGCAUACGACCUACGGGUGAAAGCAGGGGAUCUUCGGACCUUGCGCGAUUGAAUGAGCCGAUGUCGGAUUAGAUAGUUGGCGGGGUAAAGGCCCACCAAGGCGACGAUCCGUAGCUGGUCUGAGAGGAUGAUCAGCCACACUGUAACUGAGACACGGUCCAGACUCCUACGGGAGGCAGCAGUGGGGAAUAUUGGACAAUGGGCGCAAGCCUGAUCCAGCCAUACCGCGUGGGUGAAGAAGGCCUUCGGGUUGUAAAGCCCUUUUGUUGGGAAAGAAAAGCAGCAGGUUAAUACCCCGCUGUUCUGACGGUACCCAAAGAAUAAGCACCGGCUAACUUCGUG
rnacentral:rRNA from 1 species